CUUUGAGGUGACCUACAGCCAGUUGCAUCCACAACACACAAAGACCCCACUUCACCAGCUUCUUCUGAAGUGAGAAAAAUUCAGAGGAGAGAGAAGGCUGUUUUUUCCAGUAGAUUUCCAAAACAAAGGAAAGGAAAAUUGGUUCAGACUGGACAAAGACAUCCAGGAAUUGCUGUCAUCUGGGGGUUUGCAGUAAAUUAAGUGCAAAUGCCAUGCCCAGCCUCAAAUAAGAAACACUACUUAAGAAACUGGACUGUAGUGGAGGAGAUAUUUCAUCCGGCAUCAUUACAGGCAACCAAAGAAAACAAUCUGCUGAGUUCACUUCUGUUUGUAUUGGCCUGCUUCUGAAAAACUACUGUAAUUUAAGGAUAUCUGAGACAUGGAGUAUUAUAGAUAAAGAAAAUGAGGAUGAAAUAUUGAGUUGACAAUGGCAAAGCUGUUAAUUUUGUUUCAUUCCAAG
rnacentral:lncRNA from 1 species